GAUGAAGAACGCAGCGAAAUGCGAUAAGUAAUGUGAAUUGCAGAAUUCAGUGAAUCAUCGAAUCUUUGAACGCACCUUGCGCUCCUUGGUAUUCCGAGGAGCAUGCCUGUUUGAGUGUCAUUAAAUUCUCAACCAUUAUCAACUUUUGCUGAUAGUGGCUUGGAUGUGGGGGUCUAUUUUGCUGGCUUCUCAGAUAGUCAGCUCCCCUUAAAUGCAUUAGCCGGUGCCCCGCGUGGACUGUCUAUUGGUGUGAUAAUUAUCUACGCUAUGGACAUCUGCAAUCAUAUGGGUUUGCGCUGCUUCUAACAGUCUGUUGAUUCAGACAAUACAUGACAAUUUGACCUCAAAUCAGGUAGGACUACCCGCUGAACUUAAGCAUAUCAAUAAGCGGAGGA
rnacentral:misc_RNA from 1 species